GGGGCUAUGGCGCAGCUGGUAGCGCGUCUGCUUUGCAAGCAGAAGGUCACGGGUUCGAGCCCCGUUAGCUCCACCA
rnacentral:tRNA from 3 species